GCCAGCAGCCAUAUCACCCUACAGCUCUCAACUGGCUAUCCACUGAAGCUCAGCAUGGUUGAGCCUGGUCAGUACCUGGAUGGGAGACCUCCCGGGAAGCUAUGGUUGCUGCUGGAA
rfam:Lepisosteus oculatus linkage group LG3, whole genome shotgun sequence.